GAUGAACGCUAGCGGCAGGCCUAACACAUGCAAGUCGAGGGGCAGCACAGGUAGCAAUACUGGGUGGCGACCGGCGGAUGGGUGCGUAACGCGUAUGCAACCUACCAUUGAUUGGGGCAUAGCCCGAAGAAAUUCGGAUUAAUACUCCAUAAUAUUCACUAAAGGCAUCUUUUAUGAAUUAAAGCUUUUGCGAUCAAUGAUGGGCAUGCGUGACAUUAGUUAGUUGGUGAGGUAACGGCUCACCAAAACGAUGAUGUCUAGGGGUUCUGAGAGGAUUAUCCCCCACACUGGUACUGAGACACGGACCAGACUCCUACGGGAGGCAGCAGUGAGGAAUAUUGGUCAAUGGACGCAAGUCUGAACCAGCCAUGCCGCGUGCAGGAUGACGGCCCUAUGGGUUGUAAACUGCUUUUCCACGGGAAGAACCCUCCGACGUGUCGGAGACUGACGGUACCGUGGGAAUAAGCAUCGGCUAACUCCGUGCC
rnacentral:rRNA from 1 species